GGAGCGAUGUCCGAGUGGUCGAAGGAGCGCGCCUGGAGAGCGCGUAGGGGCCCACAAGGUCCCUCCUGGGUUCGAAUCCCAGUCGCUCCG
rnacentral:tRNA from 1 species